rnacentral:rRNA from 1 species
CAGCCGCCGCGGUAAUACGAAGGGGGCUAGCGUUGUUCGGAAUUACUGGGCGUAAAGCGCACGUAGGCGGAUAUUUAAGUCAGGGGUGAAAUCCCGCAGCUCAACUGCGGAACUGCCUUUGAUACUGGGUAUCUUGAGUAUGGAAGAGGUUAGUGGAAUUGCGAGUGUAGAGGUGAAAUUCGUAGAUAUUCGCAGGAACACCAGUGGCGAAGGCGGCUAACUGGUCCAUAACUGACGCUGAGGUGCGAAAGCGUGGGGAGCAAACAGGAUUAGAGACCCCGGUAGUCCCUGUCUCUUAUAC